rnacentral:rRNA from 1 species
GACGAACGCUGGCGGCGUGCUUAACACAUGCCAGUCGAACGGAAAGGCCCAGCUUGCUGGGUGCUCGAGUGGCGAACGGGUGAGUAACACGUGGGUGAUCUGCCUCUAACUUCGGGAUAAGCUUGGGAAACUGGGUCUAAUACCGGAUAGGACAAUCGUUUAGUGUCGGUUGUGGAAAGUUUUUUCGGUUAGGGAUGAGCCCGCGGCCUAUCAGCUCGUUGGUGGGGUAAUGGCCUACCAAGGCGUCGACGGGUAGCCGGCCUGAGAGGGUGGACGGCCACAUUGGGACUGAGAUACGGCCCAGACUCCUACGGGAGGCAGCAGUGGGGAAUAUUGCACAAUGGGCGCAAGCCUGAUGCAGCGACGCCGCGUGGGGGAUGACGGCCUUCGGGUUGUAAACCUCUUUCGACAGGGACGAAGCUUUGGUGACGGUACCUGUAUAAGAAGCACCGGCUAACUACGUG